rnacentral:rRNA from 1 species
CCUGCAUGAAAGGCUUCACGACUUGGGAACUGUCUCCCCCAGCUGCCCGGUGAAAAUACAGUGGGCGUGAAGAUGCGCCCUGCCCGCGGCUAGACGGAAAGACCCCGGCAGCUUUACUGCUAGGUGGCAUUGAACUUUGGUUCCUGGUGCAUAGCGUAGCGGGGAGGCUGUGAAGGCAGGUCUCCGGGCCUGCUGGAGCCGCCAAUGGAACACCCGCCACUGGGGGCUAAGGUUCUAACUCAUCCUUGGCUUAGGGCAAAAACCAAGCCAAGGUGGGAACAGUGCCACUGAGGCAGUUUAGAUGGGGCAUCUGCCCUCUAAAAAGUAACGAGGGCGCGCAUAAGGUCGGCUUGGGGCGGAUGGAAAUCGCCCUAAAAGUGUAAGGGCAUAAGCCGGCCUGACUGCGAGGGGGACGCCCCGAGCAGAGGGGAAACCCGGCCCUAGUGAACCGACCCUCCUUCGUAGGAAGGGGGAAGAUCACCGGCCAAAAGUUACGCCGGGGAUAACAGACUGGUAGGGCCCGCGAGUCCACAUCUACGGCCCUGUUCGGCACCUCAAGUUUCGGGGUGCCCUGGAGGGUAACCUCUGGGUAAAAAAGCCACCAAAAACGGCGAAACUUCAUUAAAGAGAGAAUCUUUGCUAUACUCUCUUUAAUGAACAACGCCGUGGGAAAUCUAACCUGGCAACAAAGAUCAGUAAUUUUAGGUUCUGUUUUGGGAGACGGACAUUUAAGAAAGGUUGAAGGAAGGAAAUUUGCUUUCUUGGAAAUUCAGCAUUCUGUGAAGGCUAAAGAAUACUGUCAAUGGAAAUACGAGAUUCUGAAAGACAUUUGCAAGAGUCCUCCCAGGAUAAGAAAGAUGGAUGAGAAAAGAGAAGUGAUAAGGUUUCAAACAAGAGAGCAUCCAGAAAUCGAAGAGAUUUAUCAAAACUUCUACAAGGAAGGAAAAAAAGUAAUUCCAAAAAAUUUCACUUUGGAUCCUCUGGCUUUGGCGGUUUGGUUCAUGGAUGAUGGAAGCAAAAGCAAAGGAAGUAUUUAUUUGAAUUCCCAGCAAUUCGAUUGGAAGAGUCAAAGAAGGUUGUUACAUGCUCUGAGAUUGAUGGGGAUUAGAGCAAGAAUGAAUAAGGAAAAAAAAUACUACAGAAUCAGAAUUUUAAAAGAAUCGACAGAAAAGUUUAUAAAAACCAUCAAACCAUAUUUGCACCCUUUAAUGUCCUAUAAGUUGCCAGGUUAGAUCCUGUAGAGACUUCUCGGGAAUUUUCCCGAGGGGCCUGCCAAAAGGCUGGCAGGCAAAAGAGGUGGCCUCCCCCCAGAACAUGUUCUGGGGGGAUGAAGGCAUAGUCCUUACCCAAAAUGGGGAAGCGAUGUCGGCUCGUCUCAUCCUGGGGGUGGAGAAGCUCCCAAGGGUUGGGCUGUUCGCCCAUUAAAGAGACUCGUGAGUUGGGUUCAGUACGUCGUGAGACAGUACGGUCCCUAUCUACCGCGGGCGUUUGGGGACUUGAGGGGAGUGGCCCACAGUACGAGAGGACCUGGGUCAACCGACCUCUGGCGUAUGGGUUGUGGCGCCAGCCACACAGCCCAGUAACCACGUCGGGAAGGGAUAAGAGCUGAAAGCAUCUAAGCUCGAAGCCCACCCCAAGAUUAGGUCCCCUUGAGCCAGGUCGGAGACUACGACCUUGAUAGGGCGCACCUGAAAGCCCAGCAAUGGGUUGAGGGGAGCGCUACUAAUUGGCAAAUUGGCUCUUGA